rnacentral:rRNA from 1 species
UACGUAGGGGGCAAGCGUUGUCCGGAAUUAUUGGGCGUAAAGCGCGCGCAGGCGGUUCUUUAAGUCUGGUGUCUAAGUGCGGGGCUCAACCCCGUGAUGCACUGGAAACUGGGGAACUUGAGUGCAGAAGAGGAGAGCGGAAUUCCACGUGUAGCGGUGAAAUGCGUAGAGAUCGGCAGGAACACCCAGGGAGAAAUCAGCCGCCUGGGCAAGUGCUGACGCUGAGGUGCGAAAGCGUGGGGAGCGAACCGG